AGAAGGAGAAGGAGAAUAAAGGCUUUGCGAAGACUCCAUGCUUCACUAAAGAGUCGUUUCUGCUGAGGGGAGAGAGCUGAAUCAUGAGGAAGGACGUGAGGAUCCUCCUGGUUGGAGAACCCAAGGUGGGGAAGACAUCUCUGAUCAUGUCUCUGGUUAGUGAGGAGUUUCCUGAUGAGUCUGUGUUGCAGGUUCCUCUCAGAGCUGAGGAGAUCACCAUCCCAGCUGAUGUGACCCCAGAGAGGGUACCCACGCACAUCGUGGACUAUUCUGAAGCAGAACAGACAGAGGAGCAACUGUAUCAGGAAAUCUCCAAGGCAAACGUUAUCUGCAUAGUUUAUUCCGUUAACAACAAGAAGUCCAUCGAAAAGGUGACGAGCCACUGGAUUCCCCUCAUAAACGACCGAACCGAUAAAGACAGCAGGGUGCCGCUGAUUCUUGUUGGGAACAAGUCAGACCUAGUGGAGCACAGCAGCAUGGAAACCAUCCUGCCAAUAAUGAAUCAGUACCAGGAUAUUGAGACCUGUGUAGAGUGUUCUGCCAAAAACUUGAAGAACAUCUCUGAGCUGUUCUACUACGCCCAGAAGGCUGUUCUCCACCCAACAGGCCCCCUUUACUGCCCAGAGGAGAAGGAGCUGAAACCUUCCUGCAUUAAAGCUUUAACUCGGAUUUUUAAAAUAUCUGAUCUAGACAACGAUGGGAUCCUGAAUGACAACGAGCUCAACUUCUUCCAGAGAACCUGUUUCAAUACACCUCUGGCGCCUCAGGCCUUAGAAGAUGUAAAGAAUGUGGUGAGGAGGAACAUGACUGACGGGGUUAAAGAUAACGGACUCACUCUCAAAGGCUUCCUCUUCCUGCACACCCUCUUCAUUCAGAGAGGUCGGCAUGAGACGACGUGGACGGUGCUGAGGAGGUUUGGAUACGAUGAUGACCUGGAGCUCACACAGGAAUACCUGUUCCCCUUGGUAAAGGUCCCACCAGACUGCACCACUGAGCUAAACCACAACGCUUACCUCUUUCUGCAGAGCGUCUUUGACAAACAUGACAAAGACAGAGACUGUGCGCUGUCCCCAGAGGAGGUGAAGGACCUGUUCAAAGUGUUUCCCUACAUGCCCUGGGGUCCAGAUGUCAACAACACAGUAUGCACCAAUGAUAAGGGAUGGAUCACAUACCAGGGAUACCUCUCCCAGUGGACAUUAACAACUUAUCUGGAUGUUCAGAGGAGUUUGGAGUAUUUAGGUUACCUUGGUUACUCCAUCAUCUAUGAACAAGAGUCCCAGGCUGCUGCUAUUACUGUGACUCGUAACAAGCGCAUCGAUCUGCAGAAGAAGCAGACGCAGCGUAGCGUCUUCCGCUGUAACGUCCUGGGGGCGCGCGGCAGCGGGAAAAGCGGCUUCCUCCAAGCUUUCCUCGGCAGGAACCUGCAGAGACAGAGGCAGAUCAGAGAAGACCACAAGUCCUACUACGCCAUCAGUACGACCUAUGUUUACGGUCAGGAGAAGUACCUGCUGCUCCACGAGGUGAUGCCAGAUCUCGACUUCUUGUCCGAGGCCGACAUGGCCUGCGACGUGGUCUGCCUGGUGUACGACGUCAACAACCCUCGCUCCUUUGAGUAUUGCGCUAAAGUGUACAAGCAAUGCUUCAUAGACAGCAAGACGCCAUGUGUGGUGAUAGCUGCCAAGUCCGACCUGCAUGAGGUACGGCAGCACUACAGCCUUUCGCCGCACGAGUUCUGCCGCAAGCACAAGCUCCACCCACCACAGCCGUUCACAUGCAACAUGACCGAGGCGCCCAAUAAGGACAUCUACACCAGACUCACCACCAUGGCCAUGUAUCCCUCCAGCCAGCCCAGCCGCUCUCUGUUCAGUCUGGCACGUCGCUGUGUGACCAGCCUGGGCCAGCUAACACCUAGGCUGCUAACCAGGGAGUCUACUUCUAUGGGAUCUCCCAGCUUCAUCUGCUACGUUUGUGGGGAUGGUGUUGGGCUGAUUGGAGCUGCUUUGGGCAGGAUUUCAGGCUAAUGCUACAGGUUAUACAGUCAUCUCCAUCAUGGAGGAGCCCACUAAUAUGGAGGCCUCCGCUUGAGCAGCCAACUCCUCCUCAAAGGCACAUGGCCCAGGCAGACCUGAAGAACUCCACCUUCUGGCUGAGGGCCAGCCUCGGGGCCACGGUGUUCGCCGUGCUGGGCUUCGCCAUGUACAGAGCACUUCUAAAAACGCGGUGAUGGGCCAGCAUGAGGCGGCUACUUCCACCGUGGUCCUUUUUUUUGUUCCUUUCUACCUGAGAGACUGUAAAAAAAAAAAAAGACUGCCUGAAAAAACCAAACGGGCUCAUUGCCUCGAAUAAAGCUCUCCCAUUUCUCUGCAAGCGAAACAAGUGAGAAACAAACUUUUAUACGAUUGUGGUUUAUCUGUAUGUUUUAGACAGAAGGAACUGUUUCUAAAAGCCUGUAAACGAAAACUGAAUGAUCUCAGAUAAUCCGGCCCGUUUUUAAUCCUCAGGCCCUCAUUCAGUUUGACACGAGGAGCCCAGAACGAGGCAGCCAAAAUGAAAAUCCCGCAAAGGGACUUGAAUCUUGUUUUGAAGUAUAUGCAGUAUGUUAUGUAUUUAUCUAAGAUGUUAGGACCUGUAGAGAGUAUCACAAGCCAAACGUCACAUCAGCGGGUGACAAAACCACGUUACAUUUAACACCCACAUUAUGCACAUCUCUCAUUUGUGUGUUAAUUUAUUAACCCGUUUGGAGUGCACCACAUGGAAAAGAUCGCUCAUGUAUUUUUCUAUGUAGUAUUAUUGCUCUGAAUUUCUGACUGCUUUUACUCUUCUGGUUUUCAAUAAAGCUUUGACUCUCCUU